rnacentral:rRNA from 1 species
UAAUACGGGAGGCAGCAGUGGGGAAUCUUGGACAAUGGGGGCAACCCUGAUCCAGCCAUGCCGCGUGAGUGAUGAAGGCCCUAGGGUCGUAAAGCUCUUUCGCCUGUGAAGAUAAUGACGGUAGCAGGUAAAGAAACCCCGGCUAACUCCGUGCCAGCAGCCGCGGUAAUACGGAGGGGGUUAGCGUUGUUCGGAAUUACUGGGCGUAAAGCGCACGUAGGCGGAUCGGAAAGUUGGGGGUGAAAUCCCGGGGCUCAACCCCGGAACUGCCUCCAAAACUAUCGGUCUAGAGUUCGAGAGAGGUGAGUGGAAUUCCGAGUGUAGAGGUGAAAUUCGUAGAUAUUCGGAGGAACACCAGUGGCGAAGGCGGCUCACUGGCUCGAUACUGACGCUGAGGUGCGAAAGUGUGGGGAGCAAACAGGAUUAGAUACCCUGGUAGUCCCCACCGUAAACGAUGAAUGCCAGUCGUCGGGUAGCAUGCUAUUCGGUGACACACCUAACGGAUUAAGCAUUCCGCCU